rnacentral:lncRNA from 1 species
CUUGUCGGAAUAUUAGUCCAUCGUCGUUCGAUCAAGGUCGAACUCUUCUUUUUUCACAAAGGCCCUUGGCCUUAAAGGGUUUUAUUUCGAACUUGUCGAAAUAUUAACCCCUCGUUGUUAGAUCAAGGUCGAAAUCUUCUUUUUGGCGAAGGCCCUUGGCCUUAAAGGGUGUUAUUUCGAACUUGUCGAAAUAUUAUCCCGUCGUCGUUCGAUCAAGGUCAAACUGUUCUUUUUAGCGAAUGCCCUUAAAGGGUGUUAUUUUGAACUUGUCGAAAUACUGACCCGUCCUCGUUUGAUCAAGGUCAAAUUCUUCUUUUUGGCGAAGGCCCUUGGCCUUAAAGGGUGUUAUUUCGAACCUGUCGAAAUAUUAACCCGUCGUCGUUCAUUCAAGGUCGAACUCUUAUUUUUGGCGAAGGCCCUUGGCCUUAUAAAGUGUUAUUUAGAACUUGUCAAAAUAUUAACCCGUCGUUGUUAGAUCAAGGUCGAAAUCUUCUUUUUGGCGAAGGCCCUUGGCCUUAAAGGGUGUUAUUUCGAACUUGUCAAAAUAUUAACCCGUCGUCGUUCGAUCACGGUCAAACUAUUCUUUUUGGCGAAUGGCCUUAAAGGGUGUUAUUUUGAACUUUUUAAAUU